GUUUAACCACAAAACUGCGAUUUCUUUCCCUAAAUGCCAAUUAGGUACUCCAGUUUCUCGGAAAAGUUGUACUAAUGAACAGUUUACCACUUAACUUAUGGUAAUCACCUUUACGUCUCCAUAUUUGAGCAACCACGUGCCAGACCAUGACUUCCACGACGUGCCUCUUUCUCUCCCUCCUUGCCCUUAGUCAUCCCUUAUUCGUCGCUUCGGACGACAACCCAAUCACCAUUACGAACCAAUCCACCAAAAAGGCCCUUUCCAGUUUGAAGUACCCCUCCCUCGUUGUAGGGGAGAACGACAAUUCUGCCCAUUUUGCCUGGAUGGUCACCCCCGACGGCAGGAUUAUGGCGCACGACAAUGCCACCACGGAAGGCAAACGUGCCUGCGUCACGGUCAAGGAAGACCAACGAUGGGCAGUACUUGCCCCUUGUCAGGCCGGAUUGCCCGGGCAGACUUGGUUUGUAACGGGCAACUUCAUUUUCUCAAAGGAACGAAACCAAUGUUUGGACAACAAAUUUGACCAAAUUGUGGGAAUGGGGGACCGUUGCCGCUAUUCCCCAGAGGAACAUUGGAUCGUGGAACCCUAUGUUGCAUGAAAAUAGUUACGUUAAAAAAAAUGUAUAUCGUUAAUAAAUAGUGAAUGAAAGUGAACAGGUAUGACAGGCCCGUAGCGACGUUUUGUUCGGCCUGGAGAGUUUGGCCGUGGUACGGCCUCACAUGCCCCCCAAAAAUAUUGAAUCCAUGAUUUUACCUAGUGUGUUUUAUUGCUGACCCUGAUUUUACCUAGUGUAUUUGAUUACUGACUUUGAUUUUACCCAGUGUAUUUUAUUGUUGACACUGAUUUUAUUUAGUGUAUACUACUGCUGACCUUGAUCUUAUCUAGUGUAUUCCAUUGAAUCCCUGAUUUUAUCUAGUGUAUUCUAUUACUGACCCUGGCGGUACGGCCUGGAGAGUGUCUCUCCACCUCUCUCCACCGUCGCUACGGCGCUGAGGUAUGAUCAAGUAGCUUCUUUUCAGCUUACGUCAUCCCAAAAUCAAAUAUGCACCACAUUAUGUAGCCCACAUACCAUAUCGAUAAAAAUUCAAGUAUUAUAUAAUUAAAUAAUUUUAUUCAAACUCUACAAAAA